UAAGACGGGGGAGGCAAGUGUUAUUCGGAAUGACUGGGCGUAAAGGGCACGUAGGCAGUGAAUCAGGUUGAAAGUCAAAGACGCCAGCUCAACUGGCGGAAUGCUUUCAAAACCAAUUCACUCGAGUGGGAUAGAGGGGAGUGGAAUUUCGUGUGAAGGGAUAAAAUCCGGAGAUAUACGAAGGAACGCCGAAGUAGCGAAGGCAGCUUUCUGGGUCUCUACUGACGCUAGGGUGCGAAAGCUUGGGGAGCAAACAGGAUUAGAUACCCUGGUAGUCCAUGCCGUAAACGAUGAGUGUUCGUCCUUGGUCCGCGGAUCGGGGGCUCAGCUAACGCGUUAAACACUCCGCCUGGGGAGUACGGUCGCAAGACUG
rnacentral:rRNA from 1 species